rnacentral:sRNA from 1 species
CCCAUGGGUACAUGAAGGACUCAAAGUGGAAAAGGAAAACGGAAGUGCAAAGAUAAGGUUAGAGUACUAUGGUGGCGUGUCGGAAUAAACAUCGAGUGACCAGCCAGUGAAAAUAAUCAAAGACACCUCCGAUCAAAUAGCAAUGUAAUAUUCCGCUAUCGUAAGGUUUUUCUGAGUCAAAGGUGAUUAGAUCCUAGGACGAGGUGCUCCUCCCUAUCCAUUGCUCGGUAGGUUUACCAUGACAUUAAAUGUUAGCAACCAUGCCCAGAGUCACUCUGCUGACGGUCAAGUUCUAAUUACAUGUAUAUGACUACUUGUUGUGAAAUGCUGAGAUUCACUUGUCAAAUUAUAUGUAUGUAUAUAAUGGUUGAUGAUGCCAUUAUGAAUACAUGACUGGGUUUUAUGAGUUGUUUUAAAAAUGAAUUGUAAUUGAGCAU